rnacentral:rRNA from 1 species
UUGCGGGAGUCCUAGUAUACUUUAGUUCCUUCGGGACACGGGAUACAGGUGGUGCAUGGUUGUUGUCAGCUCGUGUCGUGAGAUGUUGGGUUAAGUCCCGCAACGAGCGCAACCCCUAUUGUUAGUUGCCAUCAUUAAGUUGGGCACUCUAGCGAGACUGCCGGUAAUAAACCGGAGGAAGGUCUCCCAUGACGUCAAAUCAUCAUGCCCCUUAUGACCUGGGCUACACACGUGCUACAAUGGUUGGUACAACGAGUCUCAAGGGAGUGAUGUCAAGCUAAUCUCUUAAAGCCAAUCUCAGUUCGGAUUGUAGGCUGCG